CUAACAAGCUACUUAGGCGUGUUAGCACGCACUAUGGUGCCAAUAAGAUAUAAAACUUGGCAUGUUGUACCUAAACAGUUGAAGGAUAAGUUAUGGGACAACAUUGAGACUGCUUUUUCAUUAAAUCAUAAAAGCAGGAGGAAUUGUAUGUUAACAAUGGGAAAAUGCUUUCGGUCUUUUAAGAACUUGCUAACAGUGAAGUACAUUCUUCCUUUCGAAGACCAAUCGGAGCUCCUCAAAAGACCACCAAUUCAAUAUACUUUUAUUGAUGAUGAAGAUUGGACAAUAUUUGUCAAAGAUAGAUUGUCUGACAACUUUAAGGAAUAUCGAGAAAUUCAAAAAGAAAGAAGAAAGAGAAACAUUUAUAAUCACCAUCUAAGUAGGAAAGGAUAUGCCGGUCUUGAGGAAGAGAUGGUAAGUGUAAGCCUAUUAAUUGUUUUUUAUUUAUUUUAUGCAUAAUACAUAAUAGGGUUAUAUGAUAAUUAUAUUAUACAUUGU